GAUGAACGCUGGCGGCGUGCCUAAUACAUGCAAGUCGAGCGAACGGGCGCGGAGCUUGCUUUUUUCAUGUUAGCCGCGGACGUGAGUGUCACAUGUGUAUCACCUCCUUAUCUUUCUGGUAUCUCUUCGGGAAACCGGAUCUAAUCCCGUAUAAUCUUUUGCACCGCAUUGUUCAUUAGUGAAAUACGGUCUUUCUGUCUCUUAUCGCUGCAUCUGCGCUGCAUUAGCUAGUUGUUAAGGUAACGGCUUACCAAGGCAACGAUGCAUAGCCGACCUGAGAGGGUGAUCGGCCACACUGGAACGGAGACACGGUCCAGACUCCUACGGGAGGCAGCAGUAGGGAAUGGGCCGCAAUGGGCGAAAGCAUGACGGAGCAACGGCGCGUGAGUGAUGAAGGUCUUCGGAUCGUAAAAAUCGGUUAUUAGGGAAGAACAUAUGUGUAAGUAACUGUGCACAUAUUGACGGUACCUAAUCAGAAAGCCACGGCUAACUACGUG
rnacentral:rRNA from 1 species